AGUGAACGCUGGCGGUAGGCCUAACACAUGCAAGUCGAACGGCAGCCCAGUACGAGCUUGCUCUUACGGGUGGCGAGUGGCGGACGGUUGGGGAAUACAUCGGAAUCUACUUUUUCGUGGGGGAUAACGUAGGGAAACUUACGCUAAUACCGCAUACGCCCUACGGGUGAAAGCAGGGGAUCUUCGGACCUUGCGCGAUUGAAUGAGCCGAUGUCGGAUUAGCUAGUUGGCGGGGUAAAGGCCCACCAAGGCGACGAUCCGUAGCUGGUCUGAGAGGAUGGUCAGCUACACUAGCAGCAAGACACGGUCCAGAGUCCUACGAAAGGCAGGAAUGGGGAACAGUGGAGGAGGGGCGAAAGCCUAGACCAGGCAGACCGAGGGUGUGAAGAAGGCCUCCGUGUUGUAAAGCCCUCUGGAUGGGUAAGAAAAGUGGCGGGGUAGUACGCCGAUGUUGUGACGGAAACCAAAGAAUAAGCACCGGCUAGCUGGAUG
rnacentral:rRNA from 1 species